rnacentral:tRNA from 1 species
GCAGUGGUAGUUCAGUGUUAGAAUUCUUGCCUUCCAUGCGGGAGGCUUGGAUUUGAUUGCCCAACGAAUGCA